GUGCUCACUCGGCAGCACAUAUACUAAAAUCGGAACGAUACAGAGAAGAUUAGCAUGGCCCCUGCACAAGGAUGACACGCAAAUUCGUGAAGCAUUCCAUAUUUUU
ensembl:snRNA U6 U6 spliceosomal RNA